AGCGAACGCUGGCGGCAGGCCCAACACAUGCAAGUCGAACGAAACCUUCGGGUUUAGUGGCGGACGGGUGAGUAACACGUGGGAACGUGCCCUUUGGUUCGGAACAACUCAGGGAACCUUGAGCUAAUACCGGAUGUGCCCUUCGGGGGAAAGAUUUAUCGCCAUUGGAGCGGCCCGCGUAGGAUUAGCUAGUUGGUGGGGUAAUGGCCCACCAAGGCUCCGAUCCUUAGCGGGUCUGAGAGGAUGAUCAGCCACACUGGGACUGAGACACGGCCCAGACUCCUACGGGAGGCAGCAGUGGGGAAUCUUGCGCAAUGGGCGAAAGCCUGACGCAGCCAUGCCGCGUGAAUGAUGAAGGUCUUAGGAUUGUAAAAUUCUUUCACCGGGGACGAUAAUGACGGUACCCGGAGAAGAAGCCCCGGCUAACUUCGUGCCAGCCGCCGCGGUAA
rnacentral:rRNA from 1 species